UACAGAGGUCCCGAGCGUUUGUUCGGAUUCAUUGGGCGUAAAGGGUGCGUAGGCGGUCUUCUAAGUUUGAUGUGAAAUCCCGGGGCUCAACCCUGGAAUUGCAUUGAAUACUGGAGGACUAGAGUACUGGAGAGGAAACUGGAAUUUACGGUGUAGCAGUGAAAUGCGUAGAGAUCGUAAGGAAGACCAGUGGCGAAGGCGAGUUUCUGGACAGUAACUGACGCUGAGG
rnacentral:rRNA from 1 species